UUAAGCGGAGAAGGGCAUGGAUGGCGAACAGAGCUGCGGCGUCGGAGACGGAGGCCUUCUCCUUCACGCUGCUGACACGCAUUCGAAUCUCUCCUUGCCACUUAAGCUCGGAAGUGCGAUUCUUCAGCAACUUCCAUGGCGCGAAAAACUCUCUGUUCGCCUUUAUCAGAAGAGCGAGGGAUCCUAUUACCGACUUUAAUGAAAGAGCAGGUGAGAGGAGAAAGAGAUUCUAAUUGCAGAGAAAAACAGAGCAAAGAUCGAUUCAUAUCAACAUUGGAGCAAAGCUCACGAAGCAUUGCCGCUUACGAAGGACGAAGCAUCCUAUUCUGGAGUUCGGGAUCGUCGCAUACAAAGGUCGAAUCCUCCGAUCUGGAGGGUCGGUAGACGGCGAGAAGGAGAGUGGCAAUUUGCAGAGCUCCCAGCGACGUGCAGAGUUCGGUAAGCCUAUCGAGGCGCUGUAGUUGGAGGCUGUGGAAAGCUAUUUCUAGCAGUAGCAGCAUAGCUGAGGAGGUGGAGACUGAUGCUGUCUCGUCCGUCGCCAGCAACGCCAACCACAUUAUCAACCCUGAAUUGUGACCAUUGGCUUCCUCAAGAUCAUCCAAUGGAGAGGAAAAAAUUACAUCAGACGUCUCUUAGAGAACGUGCUUCUCUGCCAGAACCAUUACCAUUGGAUUUUGUUGUGCAUCCGCCAUCAAAAGUAAAUUGGGAAGAAGUACGUGCACGAGCUAUUAGAGCAGCUAUGAAAGCUAAGAAA